UAAAUUUAUGUAAUUUGACAAUUAAUCUACCUCAUGUGCUUGCAGAUAUGUAUUCAUUUCCUACCACCGUAGUGGAAGAAGACUAUCCCUAUCUUUACACUGAUAGCAUUUCCAACAGUAAGCUGUGAGAUUCUGCUUGAAAUCACCUCUCAAACAAAUAAAAAACAGACCUGGGAAACUGCUACACUCAUUCUGCUGAAGAAAUAGGCAUCAUACUGGGGAAACAGGGAUUCAAAAGACCCAGGCUGUUCCCUACAUAUGUUUCCUCCUCGACAUCAGUUCAUCAGUCAAUCAAGUCAUGUGAGAGUGGAGGCCUGUAUUCCCUAUUAUUUUGGGCACUCUCCUCCAAGGAGGAAAGGCCAGGAGGUCCUUUAGAGGAUGCACUCUGAGAGCCGGCUCCUAAGGUUGAGAGUUCUAACCAGCAGGUGUAGACUUUUCAGGAGUGAGGAAUGAGGCAGGCAUUCCAAACCGGACUUCAUACCUUUUGUUUCAUCUCAAGACAAUUCUGAGGGGCUGUUUUGGAGCGUGUCUGGAAGGUGAACGUUGAAGAAGAGUGUGGGCUUUGAUGUGACUCAGAUGAGAUCUUUCAUGGGGAGGCAGGAAUUCAAUGCCCAGAAUCUGGGCUGGUGUCUUUGAGGUCAGUAGGUUGCCUCUUUUAUCCAAGUCCAUUGUUACUAGGUUGGAGGCUGGAGAUUCUAAAUGGCUUCCAGACUGCCUCUCUGAUUCUCUUUGGGAGAUGGGGUCUGAAAAGACAAUGUCAGUAUUUUUGGGAAAUUCUAGAAAGUCUGCUUGGAAACGUGGGAAGAGCUCUUGCCUAGUGCCUAAAUGCUCCAUUUGCAGCUCUAGCCACGUAGAUGCUUGGUAGGUAUAGAGCUGGGUUUGCAUUUAUAUCAGCAAAACCUAUGUCAGAGUUGAAGAAGUAGUCAGGACAAAGUGUCUUGGUCCAGGCCGGGGAACAUCUUAAAAGCAAACUUCUAGCCUGCUGACUCUUGGCAAUGAGUGUUGGUCCUGGCUAAAGGCCUUGAAUGCAGCAUGAGCCAAUCCAUGAAUCCAACUUCUAUGGAGAAAUGUUAAUAUUUUUUCAGUUUGAAUCAAUCAGGGUGAAAUUACCUUGCUAUUGGUUUGCUUACUUUUUAUUAUUUCACAUAAAAUCUAAGACAAAAUACAUUAAAUGCUUAUUGACAUAUGUAUUUAUUCUUCACCUGGCUGAUAAUAUCUGCCUAAUUUUAAACUUUCUUCCAUUUUGUAGGUUUCAACUUAUUUUAUUGUAAGAUAUUGUUAAAUCUAAUACAGGCAUUGUCACUUUUACAUAUAAUUUUAUUUUAUUUCAUAUAUUUCCUAUUGGCUUUUUACAUUUAAAUUAUGGACCACUUCAUCAUAUAAAAAGCUUCAUUUAUAUUUAAACAGUAAGUCUUUGGGUUUUUUUGUCUUGUAAUUUCCAUAUUACAUAGUAAUGAGAUAAACAUUAAUGUUUUCAGGGUAUUUUAAAUUUUAGAUAAUUACUCAUUGUAUUCAUGUGAAAUUUGUUUUUACUGCAUGUGCGGGUUGGAGAACUGUUUUCACUUCUGAUUCAUCUUUACUCUUAUCUCCUCAGAACUCAUACCUCUUGUAGUUGGGGGAUUGCAGUUUAUAAUUCCAAUAAAUGGGGCAAAUUCAAUAAUAACAUAAUACAAAUGAGUUUGAAUGCAGGACAUGUCUUCAAAGCAUACACAACAUGGGCCUACAUAUGUAAACAAUAAUAAUUUAUAAGUUACAGUUUGGAUGGAAAGUAAAAGUACAGAAAAUUUGUUAAAGAAAUUAAAAUGGAGAUCACUUAUCAAUAAUCUCUGAGCAGACAAAAUUAGUUAGGUCUCAUAAGUGAUCUCAACCUUGCUUGAUUUGCAAAUACAAGCAAAACUUAAAUAUUUCUUGUAGCUGCCUAUUUAAAAAAGAGAAAUGAAGCUCAACCAAUCAGGAGUAGCCAACAACCUUAUAUAAAUAGAAACUGUCCAACAAGGUAAACAGACGAACAAAAAACAAUAAAAAAGUUGUGCUACCACCAAUCAAAUGAUUUCUUUGUUUCUACAUUUUUCGAAUAAAUACUUGCUUCUUACUCUGUCAGUGAAGCACUAAAUAUCUUUUGAUCUGAUAUUUUAUAAUUUAUCAAUUGCUCUUACUCAAAUAAACACUUUGCAAUUUC
rnacentral:lncRNA from 1 species